GACACACAGUUAACCAUGAAGGACUUUAGGACAGGACUGCUGCUUUUAACUGUCUUCUGCUCAGGUGUUGAUGGUCAGACUCUGACACAAUCCGAAGCAGUGAUUAAAAGGCCUGAAGAAUCACACAAGUUGACUUGUACAACAUCUGGAUUCACAUUCAGCAACUACGGGAUGAACUGGAUCAGACAGGCUCCUGGAAAAGGACUGGAGUGGAUCGCUGCCAUCACCACAUCUAGUUCUAGUAUCUAUUACUCUCCAUCAGUUAAGGGUAGAUUCACCAUCUCCAGAGAUGACCCCAGCAGUAAACUGUAUCUACAGAUGAACAGUCUGAAGACUGAGGACACGGCUGUGUAUUACUGUGCUAGAGACACAGUGAGAGACAAUGAUGAGAGAGCUGUUCAAAAACUACUUCCUCUAUUCACCUCGUCCACUGAGAACAUUCAGACGUCUCUGUGUCACUGGUCCUGAACCACAGAUA